rnacentral:rRNA from 1 species
CCUACGGGAGGCAGCAGUGGGGAAUAUUGCGCAAUGGGCGAAAGCCUGACGCAGCGACGCCGCGUGAGGGAUGAAGGUCUUCGGAUCGUAAACCUCUGUCAGCAGGGAAGAACGGUCACUGUGCUAAUCAGCAGUGAAUUGACGGUACCUGCAAAGGAAGCACCGGCUAACUCCGUGCCAGCAGCCGCGGUAAUACGGAGGGGGCGAGCGUGAAUCGGAAUUACUGGGCGUAAAGCGCUCGUAGGCGGUAUGUCAAGUCAAGGGUGAAAUCCCCGCGCUCAACGUGGGAAGUGCCUUUGAAACUGGCAAGCUGGAGUGUGUGAGAGGAUAGUGGAAUUCCAGGUGUAGGAGUGAAAUCCGUAGAUAUCUGGAGGAACAUCAGUGGCGAAGGCGACUAUCUGGCACGUAACUGACGCUGAGGAGCGAAAGCGUGGGUAGCAAACAGGAUUAGAUACCCCAGUAGUC